rnacentral:rRNA from 1 species
UGGGGAAUAUUGCACAAUGGGCGCAAGCCUGAUGCAGCCAUGCCGCGUGUGUGAAGAAGGCCUUCGGGUUGUAAAGCACUUUCAGCGAGGAGGAAGGUGGUGGACUUAAUACGUUCAUCAAUUGACGUUACUCGCAGAAGAAGCACCGGCUAACUCCGUGCCAGCAGCCGCGGUAAUACGGAGGGUGCAAGCGUUAAUCGGAAUUACUGGGCGUAAAAGCGCACGCAGGCGGGUUUGUUAAGUCAGAUGUGAAAAUCCCCGGGCUCAACCUGGGAACUGCAUUUGAAACUGGCAAGCUAGAGUCUCGUAGAGGGGGGUAGAAUUCCAGGUGUAGCGGUGAAAUGCGUAGAGAUCUGGAGGAAUACCGGUGGCGAAGGCGGCCCCCUGGACGAAGACUGACGCUCAGGUGCGAAAGCGUGGGGAGCAAACAGGAUUAGAUAACCCUGGUAGUCCACGCUGUAAAACGAUGUCGAAUUUUGGAGGUUGUGCCCUUUGAGGCGUGGCUUCCGGAGCUAACGCGUUAAAUCGACCGCCUGGGGAGUACGGCCGCAAGGUUAAAAACUCAAAUGAAUUGACGGGGUC